rnacentral:rRNA from 1 species
AUGCCUCUUUACAUGACUUUGCCAUGCAAUUGUGACCCUUGCUUGCACUUACAUAUGAUUCACCAUCAUGCUACUCCUAUGUGUAUUUGCAUGCUUGGUGGAGAUCCUUGUUGCUAUUGCCAUGUUUACCAUGUGCUUCAUGCUAUUGUUGAUUCUUGUGUUGGGAGAGUCAUGAUGUUCCAUUACUAUUCACAUAGGACUUCUUGCCAAUACAAUGAUGAUACUUUCCUCAUAUCUUGCUUUCAUGCUUGUGCUAUGUCAUGUGAAUUAUUCAUGCCCACUAUUUGCACACAUGACAUGAUUGCCAUGAUUACCUCUAGUACGUUGAAUCUUUGCACUACUAGCUUGCUUGACUUUAUCACUAUAAUUACUUGCUUUGUUGCAUCACCCAUGUUCCAUUCUUACUCGCUUUCUUGGGUUGAUGACAUAUAUCUUCAUGCCUCUCACUUGAUUUGUCUUGAUCAUUGUCUCUUUUGUCCAUUAGUUGCCUCUUUCAUAUCCACUUGUAGUGCAACCAUACUAUGCUUAUUGAUCUUGGAGACUUUGACACCUUACUUAUGA